ensembl:lncRNA
CUCAACCUCAGGUACCUCAGUAUUUUCCUAGGCGUCCCUGUCCUGGCUGUGUUUUACCACUUCCUCAAAAAGAGGUGAAUGCACCGACUUUGCCCUCCCGUUGCUCCCAUUCUCCCUGCCCUUUCGCUCUUCUGCACAUUAACCAACCUCUGCCAAUGUCUUCCAGGGCCAAGAAAAUGCUGUUCCCGCCUCUGCCCAACCCCAUGGACAGCGAAGCCAUCAAGUUCCCAGCUGAGGAGAUAAGCCAGGUGAAGCCACGGCCAGGCUUUGUGGAGCCAUCAGAGAAAAUCAGCCCCACAGGACCGCUGGUGACCAAGUUUAUCUCGGACAAAGGGGAGCCUGAUAUGAACACAGAGACGCACUCGCUGCAUCUCUACACCGUGACUGAAGAAACGGCAGAGAUGUUACAGGCCAAGGAGGGGCAGGCAGGCUCUGAGAAUGACCUGCCAUUUGAAUAUAGAAGGCAGGUGCUUCUGACCCCAGCGGAAGAGGAACAGGAAGAAGAUGAUUUCAGAGAAUUCGCUGGUGUUUGUGGUCAAAAUAACCUUGCCGAAGCAGGCACAGGGCCUUCUCAGCCCCACCCAGACGAGGGUGCUGCCAUGGAGCAGACAGGGCUCUCUCGGCCUCUGGUACAGCUCUCCUUGCUGCUCUCAGACAAGCCCGUCAUCAUAAAGAAUGGGGGCAGCUUUGACCUUUUACAUAAGUGAACCUUGUCUUGAGGGUUCAGCUUGGGACAGCCUGGGAAGACAGAGUGUUGCAGUGACAAGGCACCAUGUGCUCAGGCCUGUCUGGGCAGAGACCCCAUGGUGCAGGACACAGGGGCCUCAGCAGAUCUCCUGAGAGACUUCCGAUCUCAGUCUCUUUUUUCAGAGUUUGAGUGUGAACUCUCUGCAGCAGGGGCUGUCGUUUAUUAUACAUGUCCCAGUCCCACAAUGAAACACUGAAGAGGAAGCCAGAUUUCAGAGCGGUAGCCAUGUUAGUCUGUAUCAGCAAAAACAAGGAGUUGUUUUUACUGAAUAGGAAGAAUGAACUGUUCAAACAUCCUUUAUAUUUUGAUGUGUGAGAAAAGGUCCCUCAGUCCAGCCAUGGUCUCCUAUUUUCUCAUAUUCCAGAGCCCCUUUCCUUGAUUAGUAUCAGGGGGGAGCCGUGUUAGUCUGUAUCCACAAAACAGCAAGGAGUCUGGUGGCACCUUAAAGACUAGCAGAUUUAUUUGGGCAGAAGCUUUUGCAUCUGAAGAAGUGGGGUUUUUUAGCCACGAAAGCUUAUGCCCAAAUAAAUCUUUAGUCUUUAAGGUGCCA